GCCGGUGUGGUGGAACGCAUACACACUAGUUUCAGAAGCUAGCGCCGAAAGGCAUGGGGGUUCAAAUCCCUCCACCGGUACCA
rnacentral:tRNA from 1 species